GACGAACGCUGGCGGCGUGCUUAACACAUGCAAGUCGAACGGUAGGGCACUUCGGGGUACACGAGUGGCGAACGGGUGAGUAACACGUGGGUGAUCUGCCCUGCACUUCGGGAUAAGCCGGGGAAACUGGGCCUAAUACCGGAUAGGACUCCGGACUGCAAGGGCUGCGGGGGCAAGCUGUUGCGGUGUGGGAUGGGCGCGCGGCCUAUCAGCGUGUUGGUGGGGUGAUGGCCUACCAAGGCGACGACGGGUAGCCGGCCUGAGAGGGUGACCGGCCACACUGGGACUGAGAUACGGCACAGACUCCUACGGGAGGCAGCAGUGGGGAAUAUUGCACAAUGGGCGCAAGCCUGAUGCAGCGACGCCGCGUGAGGGAUGACGGCCUUCGGGUUGUAAACCUCUUUCAGCAUCGACGAAGCGAAAGUGACGGUAGGUGCAGAAGAAGGACCGGCCAACUACGUGCCAGCCGCCGCGGUAA
rnacentral:rRNA from 1 species